CUUGUGUUUCUUUUUCUUGCCUUUCUGCGCUGGCCAGAACCUCCACUGCGGUGCUAAGAGUGGGGAACGAGGACGUCCCUGCCUCGGUCCUGAUCUCGGGCAGAAAUGGUCAGUCUCCUGCCGUUAGGAUGUUAGCUGUAUGAAGCCUUUUGGCAGGCUGAGUAGUUUCCCUUCUAUUUGUAGUUUGCUGAGGUUUUUGUUGGUUUUUAAUCACAAUGGACAUUGAAUUUUGUUGAACGGUUUUUCUACGUCAGUUGAUAUGGUCAUAGGGUCUUUCUUAUUCAGCCUGUGGAUGUGGUGGAUUAUGCUGAUUGCUUUCUGAAUAUCACACCAACCUUCCGUUCCCGAAUAAUCCUGCUGGGUCAGCUGGCCUGGCUCCCCAGAGAUGGCCCACGGGGGCCACUUUGUACAGGGUCCCCUUCUGCUCUCUGUCUGCCACGGCCUCACAGAGCACGGCGUCUUCUUGUUUGGUCUCAAGGAGAAAGAAUGAAGGCGUCUUCUUGUUUGGUCUCAAGGAGAAAGAAUGAAGUCAGCUGAAGACCCAGCGGGAGGCUCACUGGGAGUUCUCUGACGGGACUUUCUCCAAGGCCAUGGGGGGCGUCUGGUCCACAUUCCAAGGCCCAGCUUUUCUCUGGAGGAUGAAGACCUGCCUUCUCCUCCGGAAAGAAACGCAUCUGUUUGCAAGGCACAGGGCACAAAAGAGCAAGACAAAGACGAGGACGGCGGAGGAGGAUGGAGUUCGCGUCCUGGGACACCAGGGCGUUCAUUGAAAAUUAAGGCUUUACAGGGAACGUGCACACAAGCCUGCUCCCUCACGAGGAAGGACAGCGCAGCCUUCCCCAGAAGGCCUGGGCAACUUCGCCCGGAAAGGAGGGCCCCUGGGGAAGCCUGCCUCCCCCCCAGUCCCCUCCCCCUCCUCCAAGCUGCAGUUGUGGGGACUGUAAAUGGGGCCGCUGCCCGUCUCCUGCCCGGCCCCUCCGAUCUCUGACGACAGCACCGCCGAGGGGCAGAGCUCCUGAACCACGGCCGGAGCUGUGGGGACGGCGCCCUUCGCCCUUGGGGGUGAGAGGGCUUCUGGGCUCCGAGAGCCCGGGUCACGUUCCCAGUCGCCUCUGGCAGUGGUCUGUGCUGGGGGCGCAGAGCCAACACUGAGCUGAUGAUGGGGAUGCAAAGCCCUGUCUCAGUCUGAGUGCGGCCCGUGAGGAGCUCCCGGGCAGGGACGACAGGUGGCAUCUGGAAGGCUGUUCCCAGGACGACCCGCGUGAAUGCGCCUCUCCCCCCUCGCAGCUGAGAAGCGGGGCAGGCGCCUCCCGCUGUGCACCGAGGACAACGUGGACCACGGCUGGGGGUUAUUACUCUUCUCGCAUCCCAGUUGUGAUGGCACGUCAUGUUCCACGGCUUUGGAAUGAAGAAAACUCGGCUCCACCAAGGGCGGAGGCGGGGAGAGAGGUGGAAGACAUGGUGCCAGUUCC
rnacentral:lncRNA from 1 species